GAUUGAGUGCUGAAAUUGGCAUUAACCUAGGAGGAGCGUCAUUUUUAGCCACUUGCCCAGUAUUAGAGUACAUUGGAGAAGGUUGUUGAUAUGCUGACCAAGAGGCGUAGAAAUAAGUGCCAGGAGCCUGUGAAAUUUCUGGUCUAUGGUUGCGAAAGAUUGCACACUGAUCACUGUACGACCCAUUCAUUGGAGCUGCUCCAGGGAGCCCAGCACCAUAUUCCGCUUUCAGAUGAGAUGGAGGUACAUUUGUUGCCCCAUGUCUUACUGAGUCAUAAUUGCUGGAAUGAGAACUACUAUGCAACUGAUUCAUUCUGGGGUUUGGUAGAGAUGCCACAGUCAAAUUUGGGUUUUCAACUGCCCCACCAGAAAGUGAACAACUACCAAAUGAUUGAGGAUUUGAAGAGUUGUUAACUGGUUGAUUAGUGAACGAUUGAGAAGGCCCCAAAAAUUUUUGUGCUGACACCGGAUGUCCUAUUAGAGCACAUUCCUCAACAAUCACAAUCAAUUCCAGGAUGAUAAUAAUCAUGCGACCUUGGACGGUGGUGCAAGUGUACUGAAUCAAC
rnacentral:misc_RNA from 1 species